rnacentral:rRNA from 1 species
UACGAAGGGGGCUAGCGUUGCUCGGAAUCACUGGGCGUAAAGGGUGCGUAGGCGGGUCUUUAAGUCAGGGGUGAAAUCCUGGAGCUCAACUCCAGAACUGCCUUUGAUACUGAAGAUCUUGAGUUCGGGAGAGGUGAGUGGAACUGCGAGUGUAGAGGUGAAAUUCGUAGAUAUUCGGAAGAACGCCAGUGGCGAAGGCGGCUCACUGGUCCGGUACUGACGCUGAGGUGCGAAAGCGUGGGGAGCAAACAGG